GGAUUGUGCCUGAUACCUAAAAAGUGUUCAGCAAAUGCUGUUGGCAACCUAAGAAGAGACUUGUGUUCCCGGCAGACGGGAAGAGUGAGACAGGGGAAGCAGGAGGACCAAGCUCAUUUGGGAUGUGGGACCUUCCUCCAAUCUAGGUUUCACAGAUAUGUGGAGUUCAUGUGGGGAAUGGAGGAGACCCGUCUUCUUGCCUUCUCCAGUGGGGUAAUGCCGUAGCUUGCAUAUUUCACUCAAGGCC
rnacentral:lncRNA from 1 species